UGGGAAGUGUUCAUCUUUAUUUUCUUUAACAUAGCGAUUUGUUUAUUAUAAUAUAUUGUAAUGAUACAUAUUUUAAAGGUUGGUGCUUGACGGACGUGGUUUUUGUCUGCUAGUGAUGUCAUCUUUGCCUUUUUUAGGAUAACCCACUGUUAGUGGGUUAGUGUUUAUAAAACACCAUAGCCUUGCCAUUCAUUGCCUCGUCCUCCCUCUAUCUCUUUUUGAC
rnacentral:misc_RNA from 1 species